rnacentral:lncRNA from 12 species
AUUCAUUUAUUCCUUUGAAGACCCUAAAAUUGUCAUUUUAUAGUCAUUUUCAGGCAGCUAUAUUAUUCUCACGUCAGCUAGAAUGAGUUCAUCUACUCACUGUUGAUUUAAAAAUUAAUGCAAGAGUUGUAACCAGAUGUAGGAUCACUGUAUAAAAUCGAGAUUGAAGUAGGACUCCAUGACCCAUUAAAGGAGCCUGAAAAAAAUAUGGUCUUUUUGGUGGUAAAGAUCUGCCCAUGAGAACAUGCCCCUAGUAACGGCUUCCUCCACCCCUCUCUGGAAGAGAGAGGAAGCACAAGAAGAAACUCCUGGUGCAGAGCCCCAUUUCCUACCUCAUGGAUGUGAAGUGCUCAGGAUGCUAUAAAAUCAACACCGUCCUUAGCCAUGCACAAACAGUAGUUUUGUGUGUUGGCUGCUCCACUGUCCUUUGCCAGCCUGCUGGAGGAAAAAACAAGGCCUACAGAAGGAUGUUCCUUCAGAUGGGAGCAGCACUGAAAGCAUCCUGAAUCAAAGGGCCUAGAAAAUGUAUUUUUAAAUGCCGCCCCAGCACAUGCCCGUGGAGGUUGGAUUUCAUCUUGGCAGAAAGUUCGUCACACUGAUUUCCUGCUGACACGGGUCUGGUGGAAGCCACUGAACCAGUUGUCCUGUGUCAAGGGAAGGAAGCAGAUCCGGAGAAGGGUCAGGUGUUCUGCAGGACAGAGCUCCUUCUGCAGACCCUCCUUGCCACCGCUUUUCCUGGAAGAGGAACUGGAUUGUGCUUCACGGCAGAAGCGGGUUGACAAUUUUAUUUUGCAGCCCUCAAUCCAAGCUUCACUGUGUUCCUUUACGUUUUUUGGGUUCAGAAGUGGUUGACUAAACUGGGUGUGGCCCGGACAAGGCUGAACGAGUCCCAUCGCAUUGCCCUCCAGGCUCAUCCCCACCCGUGAUUAGUAAGUAAUUCUCUUACUACACCGAGGCCUCAGCAAAGCCCUGGUCGCCGCCAGCCCCAGUGGCACGGCCGGGGACACAGACUGAAUUAACUGCAUGAGCUUCCUGUCCGUACUGUCUGAAUUCCUUUCCAAAAAUGUCCCCACCUUGCACUGAGCUGCUCUUCCUCUAGCAGGAAUUCAAUGGCUUUCACAAAUGAGAUCCUUCAGAUCAGGAGCAGCACCUUUACCGGAAUGAUAAUUGCAUAAGACUAUACAGGCACGCGGGGAACAAAUGAAUGAAUGACGCCUCACCCCAGACCACACUCAUCACCGGGGUGAGAGCGGACAGGUUUCCCCGGGGAAAGACGAAGACAGCGUGUG